rnacentral:misc_RNA from 1 species
GAUGAAGAACGCAGCGAAAUGCGAUAAGUAAUGCGAAUUGCAGAAUUUCCGUGAGUCAUCGAAUCUUUGAACGCACAUUGCGCCCACUGGUAUUCUGGCGGGCAUGCCUGUUCGAGCGUCAUUUCAACCAUCAAGCCCUGUGCUUGUGUUGGAGCCCUGCGGCUGCCGCAGGCUCCCAAACCCAGUGGCGGGCUCGUCGUCGUACCGAGUGCAGUAAACAUACCACGCUCAGGGCACGCGACGGGUGACCGGCCGUAAAACCCCCCCCCUUCUCAAGGUUGACCUCGGAUCAGGUAGGAAUACCCGCUGAACUUAAGCAUAUCAAUAAGCGGAGGA